rnacentral:snRNA from 1 species
UCACUCUGGUUUCUCUUCAAUCCACGUUUAAAUCUUUCGCCUUUUACUAAAGAUUUCCGUGGAGAGGAACUUGCCCUAUCCUCAGUGUUUAAUACCCUCCCGCAUUCAGAUCUUGUUUAAGUUUUGGGCAUAAAACCUU